UACAGAGGUCUCAAGCGUUGUUCGGAUUCAUUGGGCGUAAAGGGUGCGUAGGCGGCGAGGCAAGUCUGGUGUGAAAUCCCGGGGCUCAACUCCGGAACUGCACUGGAUACUGCUUUGCUAGAGUACUGGAGAGGGAACUGGAAUUUACGGUGUAGCAGUGAAAUGCGUAGAUAUCGUAAGGAAGACCAGCGGCGAAGGCGAGUUCCUGGACAGUUACUGACGCUGAGGCACGAAGGCCAGGGGAGCAAACGGG
rnacentral:rRNA from 1 species